GCGGGUGUGGCGGAAUGGCAGACGCGCUAGGUUUAGGUCCUAGUGGUAAUAACCGUGCAGGUUCAACUCCUGUCACCCGCACCA
rnacentral:tRNA from 1 species